UUUGAUCCUGGCUCAGGACGAACGCUGGCGGCGUGCUUAACACAUGCAAGUCGAACGGUGAUGUCAGAGCUUGCUCUGGCGGAUCAGUGGCGAACGGGUGAGUAACACGUGAGUAACCUGCCCCCGACUCUGGGAUAACUGCUAGAAAUGGUAGCUAAUACCGGAUAUGACGAUUGGCCGCAUGGUCUGGUCGUGGAAAGAAUUUCGGUUGGGGAUGGACUCGCGGCCUAUCAGGUUGUUGGUGAGGUAAUGGCUCACCAAGCCUACGACGGGUAGCCGGCCUGAGAGGGUGACCGGCCACACUGGGACUGAGACACGGCCCAGACUCCUACGGGAGGCAGCAGUGGGGAAUAUUGCACAAUGGGCGAAAGCCUGAUGCAGCAACGCCGCGUGAGGGAUGACGGCCUUCGGGUUGUAAACCUCUUUUAGUAGGGAAGAAGCGAAA
rnacentral:rRNA from 1 species